rnacentral:tRNA from 1 species
GGGCAGGUGUCGAAAUGGCAUACGAUGGAGACUUAAAAUCUCCCGCUCGCAAGAGCAUGAGGGUUCGACUCCCUCCCUGCCCA